AUUGAACGCUGGCGGCAGGCCUAACACAUGCAAGUCGAGCGAGCGGCGGACGGGUGAGUAAUGUAUGGGGACUGCCUGAUAGAGGGGGAUAACUAGUGGAAACGGUGGCUAAUACCGCAUAUUAUCGGAUAACCCAUAUGGGAUUAGCUAGUAGGUGGGGUAAAGGCUCACCUAGGCGACGAUCGCUAGCUGGGCUGAGAGGAUGAUCGGCCACACUGGGACUGAGACACGGCCCAGACUCCUACGGAGGCAGCAGUAGGGAAUAUUGGGCAAUGGGCGAAAGCCUGAUGCAGCAAUGCCGCGUGUGUGAAGAAGGCUUUAGGGUUGUAAAAUACUUUCAUUGGGGAGGCGUUAUCUGCAGAGGAAGCACCGGCUAACUACGUGCCAGCAGCCGCGGUAAUUC
rnacentral:rRNA from 1 species